AGUGAACGCUGGCGGUAGGCCUAACACAUGCAAGUCGAACGGCAGCACAGGAGAGCUUGCUCUCUGGGUGGCGAGUGGCGGACGGGUGAGGAAUACAUCGGAAUCUACUUUUUCGUGGGGGAUAACGUAGGGAAACUUACGCUAAUACCGCAUACGACCUACGGGUGAAAGCAGGGGAUCUUCGGACCUUGCGCGAUUGAAUGAGCCGAUGUCGGAUUAGCUAGUUGGCGGGGUAAAGGCCCACCAAGGCGACGAUCCGUAGCUGGUCUGAGAGGAUGAUCAGCCACACUGGAACUGAGACACGGUCCAGACUCCUACGGGAGGCAGCAGUGGGGAAUAUGGGACAAUGGGCGCAAGCCUGAUCCAGCCAUACCGCGUGGGUGAAGAAGGCCUUCGGGUUGUAAAGCCCUUUUGUUGGGAAAGAAAUCCAGCUGGUUAAUAUCCGGUUGGGAUGACGGUACCCAAAGAAUAAGCACCGGCUAACUUCGUGCCAGCCGCCGCGGUAA
rnacentral:rRNA from 1 species